ACCCCACUGCUAUCGGGAUAGGACUAAGACAUGCUAGUCGAGCGCUUCCAGCCAACACGGGAGCGCGGCAUACAGCUCAGUAACACGUGGCUAAUCUGCCCUUGGGACUGGAACACCCCCGGGAAACUGGGGCUAAUUCUUGAUAGGUGAAGAACUCUGGAAUGAGUCUUUGCUUAAAAGACGUUUACGUUAUGCUCGUAGGCGUCGCCCAAGGAUGAGGCCGCGACCGAUCAGGUUGUUGGUGAGGUAAUGGCUCACCAAGCCUUUUACCGGUGCGGGCCGUGAGAGCGGGAGCCCGGAGAUGGGCACUGAGACAAGGGCCCAGGCCCUACGGGGCGCAGCAGUCGCGAAAACUUUGCAAUACACGAAAGUGUGACAGGGCUAUCCCGAGUGCCAUCCGCUGAGGAAGGCUUUUACCCAGUCUAGAACGCUGGGGGAAUAAGGAGAGGGCAAGUCUGGUGUCAGCCGCCGCGGUAAUACCAGCUCUCCGAGUGGUGUGGAUGUUUAUUGGGCCUAAAGCAUCCGUAGCUGGCUAAGUUAGUCCCUUGUUAAAUCCACCGAAUUAAUCGUUGGAUUGCGGGGGAUACUGCUUGGCUAGGGGACGAGAGAGGCAGACGGUAUUUCCGGGGUAGGGGUGAAAUCCUAUAAUCCCGGGAAGACCACCAGUGGCGAAGGCUGUCUGCUAGAACGCGCCCGACGGUGAGGGAUGAAAGCUGGGGGGGCGAACCGGAUUAGAUACCCGGGUAGUCCCAGCUGUAAACGAUGCAGGCUAGGUGUUUGGACGGCCACGUGCCGUUCUAGUGCCGCAGGGAAGCUGUUAAGCCUGCCGCCUGGGGAGUACGAUCGCAAGAUUGAAACUUAAAGGAAU
rnacentral:rRNA from 1 species